rnacentral:rRNA from 1 species
CGAACAGGAUUAGAUACCCUGGUAGUCCACGCCCUAAACGAUGAGAACUGGCCGUUGGGGGGGUGAUACCCUUUAGUGGCGAAGCUAACGCGUUAAGUUCUCCGCCUGGGGAGUACGGCCGCAAGGUUAAAACUCAAAUGAAUUGACGGGGGCCCGCACAAGCGGUGGAGCAUGUGGUUUAAUUCGAUGCAACGCGAAGAACCUUACCUGCCCUUGACAUCUGGGGAACCCUGCAGAGAUGCGGGGGUGCCUUCGGGAACCCCAAGACAGGUGCUGCAUGGCUGUCGUCAGCUCGUGUCGUGAGAUGUUGGGUUAAGUCCCGUAACGAGCGCAACCCUUGUCGCCAGUUGCCAGCGGUUUGGCCGGGCACUUUGGCGAGACUGCCGGCGAUAAGCCGGAGGAAGGCGGGGAUGACGUCAAGUCAUCAUGGCCCUUAUGGGCAGGGCGACACACGUGCUACAAUGGCCGGUACAGAGGGUUGCCAAGCCGUGAGGUGGAGCCAAUCCCAGAAAGCCGGUCGUAGUUCGGAUUGGAGGCUGCAACUCGCCUCCAUGAAGCCGGAAUCGCUAGUAAUCGCGGAUCAGCCAUGCCGCGGUGAAUACGUUCCCGGGCCUUGUACACACCGCCCGUCACACCAUGGGAGUCGGCUGCACCAGAAGCCGGUGGCCUAACUCAUUUUGAGGGGGUGCCGUCCACGGUGUGGUCGAUGACUGGGGUGAAGUCGUAACAAGGUAGCCGUA